rnacentral:rRNA from 1 species
AGUCACUGACAUUAGAUACCCCGGUAGUCCAGGGUGUAAACGCUGCAGACUUGGUGUUGGAAGUCCUUUGGGGGCAUUCAGUGCCGGAGAGAAGUUGUUGAGUCUGCUACUUGGGGAGUACGUCCGCAAGGAUGAAACUUAAAGGAAUUGGCGGGGGAGCACCGCAACGGGAGGAGCGUGCGGUUUAAUUGGAUCCAACACCGUAAAACUCACCAGGGAAGACUGUUACAUGAAAGCCGAGAUGAGGACUCUGCUAGAUUUUCAG